CCUCACAACUCUUUGAUGCCUCACUUGAAAUGUCUCAUGACAAGGACCGGAGCUCCACUCCAGUACCUGAGCAGUUGGAUACGACAGUUGGAUCCUCCAGCCAACCUGACCCUAUGGAUGCGACGUUUCACCUGUCCACAGCAACGGAGAGCUCGGAUACUGAAGAUGAUGAAUACGAGAAGCAGCAGCAGCCUGGGCACUCAAAAUCUCGCAGUCGUCAAACAGUAAAUCCGGAGGAGCGGUU